UUCCUCUCAGGAUCUCACCUGGAGAGUUCCAGUACUUUAUCAGUUUCUGCUAUAGGAGGGAGAGUCAAACUGACAUACCCAUUCCAUUCCUAGCUUGGGCAUUAGCUAGUGAGUGGAAGUCAAUCUGCUACAAGU